AUUGAACGCUGGCGGCAGGCCUAACACAUGCAAGUCGAGCGAGCGGCGGACGGGUGAGUACUGUAUGGGGACUGCCCGAUAGCUGGGGAUCACUACUGGAAACGGUGUCUAAUACCGCAUACAGUCGGAUACCCCAUAUGGGAUUAGCUAGUCGGUAAGGUAAUGGCUUACCUAGGCGACGAUCCCUUGCUGGUCUGAGAGGAUGAUCAGCCACACUGGGACUGAGACACGGCCCAGACUCCUACGGAGGCAGCAGUGGGGAAUAUUGCGCAAUGGGCGAAAGCCUGAUGCAGCCAUGCCGCGUGUAUGAAGAAGGCCCUAGGGUUGUAAAGCACUGUCAGUCGGGAGGCGUUACCGACAGAAGAAGCACCGGCUAACUCCGUGCCAGCAGCCGCGGUAAUUC
rnacentral:rRNA from 1 species